GGGCGGUUGGUGUAGUGGCUAUCAUCCCCGCUUUGCAUGUCUUCGGACAUUCACUGUUCUGCGGGUGGUCGGGGGUUCAAAUCCCUCACCGUCCA